ensembl:lncRNA
UGGGGCGUCAGCUGAGAGUUAGCAGUCCAUGUGUGUCCUUUAAUACUGAUUAUUCAGUUAAAUGAGAAACCUGUAAGUGAUGACUGUUCAUUCUCAUUCUGAUCGGAUGAGCCCAUGAUGGUAAGAAGCUCCUGCUUCCUCUGAACCUCUUUAACAAUAAAGGAUGACAAAAUAUUAACUAACAGAAGAGAAACUUAGCAAGUACAGUGAGGGUCAGGAGCUGCUUCAUCUGGAGGUGAAUGUAAAUAAGAAGAAAAGGGCACACAGACAUCGAGAGAGAAGACAGAAGUUAAUGACACAAAUAGAUGGCAUAAAAACCCUAGGGGAGGGACAAGAGGUGAGUCCUUCAGCAGCACAACUAAGGAGUGAAUGCAUUCUGAAUACAAGAGAGCAGAAAAGAAGAGAAAAAUCAUCCUGAUUCAUUUUUUCCUAAUGAAACAGUUAACAGUGUGUACAGAGAUAUCAUCGGAUUGCAGUGCACCCCUGAGUCUGGUCAUGCUUUCCAUCUCAUCAAGCUCUUCUGCCCCCUGAAUGGCUAAUGUGUCAUCCCUCCGGUCCAGACAGGAACUCUGCUUUCUGAAUGUCAAGUGAAGUUAAAGCCCAAACAAAGUGAUUCCUUCACUAACAUCUACAGCCCGCAGAUAGAGCUUUGUUUACAUGAACCUCUUAAAGCAGAUAAAUAGCUGCUUUUACACCAUAAACAGAAUAAAUGUCUAGUAGUUCAUCUCGUUUUACUUGAACUUUCAUUCCCACUGGGUGGACAGACUCCCACUGCAGCUGCAGGACAGAUUUUGUAAAUAUUAACGAAUUCUGCACAAAUAGGAAAUGCCAAGU